UGGCCCAUGGUUGCAGGGGUUGCAGCUGUGGCCGGGCCCCGUGGAGUGAGGGGCCCUGUCACAUCUGUAUCCCCUGUGACCGUGGU